rnacentral:tRNA from 1 species
GGUGAGUUGUCCGAGUGGUUGAAGGAGCCUGCCUCGAAAACAGGUGUACUGCAAGGUACCGGGGGUUCGAAUCCCUCACUCACCG